rnacentral:snRNA from 1 species
GUUGUUGCUUGGGCUUUUGGCUAAGAUCAAGUGUAGUAUCUGUUCUUUUCAGUUUAAUAUCUGAUACAUCCUCUAUCGGAGGACAGUAUAUUAAAUGGGUUUAUGGAACUAGGAGUUGAAAUAGGAGCUUACUCCAUCCACUCCAUGCAUCGACCUGCUAUUGCAGUACCUCCAGGAAUGGUACACCCCCU